UACAGAGGGUGCAAGCGUUGUUCGAAAUUACUGGGCGUAAAGGGUACGUAGGCGGCGAAGUGUGUCUGAUGUGAAAGCCCUUGGCUUAACCAAGGAAGUGCAUUGGAAACUACUUUGCUAGAGUGUGAGAGAGGAUAGUGGAAUUCCCAGAGUAGAGGUGAAAUUCGUAGAUACUGGGAGGAACAUCUGAGGCGAAGGCGACUAUCUGGAUCACAACUGACGCUGAGGUACGAAAGCAUGGGUAGCAAACAGG
rnacentral:rRNA from 1 species